rnacentral:misc_RNA from 1 species
CCCUCCCUCUAUAACGACACCAUCAGCACCACUUAGUUCUGCUACAAGUUUAGCACGUAUCUUUCCACCUGCAUUUCUUUUAAGCCGGCCACGGAAGAAAAGCAGGGUGGUUCUUUUUGAUUCACUUUCUGAUAAACACUUGGCAUCACACAAAUCAACAUUGGGGACAUACGGAAGAAUUAGAUCUUUCUCCAAAAACACUUGUCCUGGCUUGUACCAGUUCCCCGUGGAGUCCAUAUCAGGUAGCAACCAAAUUGCAUUUUUCAUAUAUCUCCGAACAGACUUGAAAGACCAGGGAUGAUGAACAGGAAGAAUGUGAU